rnacentral:rRNA from 1 species
UACAGAGCCUGCAAGCGUUAUUCGGAUUCACUGGGCGUAAAGGGUGCGCAGGCGGCCGAGUGUGUGAGGCGUGAAAGCCCGGGGCUUAACCCCGGAAUUGCACCUCAAACUACACGGCUAGAGCAUUGGAGAGGGUAGCAGAAUUCAUGGUGUAGCAGUGAAAUGCGUAGAUAUCAUGAGGAAUACCAGAGGCGAAGGCGGCUACCUGGACAAUUGCUGACGCUCAGGCACGAAAGCGUGGGGAGCAAAAGGG